AACAUGGGGCAAUGGAGGAAACGCUGACGCAGCGACGCCGCGUGAGCGAUGAAGGAUUUCGGAUCGUAAAGACCUGUCCUUGGGGAAGCAGGUCUUCGGACUUGACGGCACCCAAGAACAAAGCCCCGGCUACCCACCUGCCCGCAGCCGCGGUAAUACGUAGGGGGCAAGCGUUAUCCGGAAUUAUUGGGCGUAAAGGGUGCGUAGGCGGCCUUUUAAGUCAGAUGUGAAAGCCCACGGCUUAACCGUGGGAUUGCAUUUGAAACUGGAAGGCUUGAGUAUCGGAGAGGGUAGUGGAAUUCCCAGUGUAGCGGUGAAAUGCGUAGAUAUUGGGAGGAACACCAGUGGCGAAGGCGACUACCUGGACGAAAACUGACGCUGAGGCACGAAAGCUAGGGGAGCAAACA
rnacentral:rRNA from 1 species